GACGUAGGGCGCGAGCGUUGUCCGAAUUUAUUGGGCGUAAAGAGCUCGUAGGCGGUGUGUCACGUCGGCCGUGAAAACCUGCAGCUUAACUGUGGGCGUGCGGUCGAUACGGGCAUCACUGGAGUUCGGCAGGGGAGACUGGAAUUCCUGGUGUAGCGGUGAAAUGCGCAGAUAUCAGGAGGAACACCGGUGGCGAAGGCGGGUCUCUGGGCCGAUACUGACGCUGGAGGAGCGAAAGCGUGGGGAGCAAACAGG
rnacentral:rRNA from 1 species